AACUCUCGGCAACGAAUAUCUUAGCUCUCGUAUUAAUGAAGAACGUAGCAAAAUGCGAUACUUGGUGUGAAUUGCAGAAUCCCGUGAACCAUCGACUCUUAGAAUGCAUGUUGCACACGAAGCCAUAGGCCAAGGGCACUUUUUCCUGGGCGUCA